GAAGUCUCUUCGGAGGCGAGUAAAGUGGCGCACGGGUGAGUAACGCGUGGGUAAUCUGCCCUCAGGUCUGGGAUAACCCCGGGAAACCGGAGCUAAUACCGGAUGAGACCACGAUGACUUCGGUCGAUGUGGGAAAAGGUGGCCUCUCCUUGGAAGCUAUCGCCAGAGGAUGAGCCCGCGUUUGAUUAGCUUGUUGGUGAGGUAACGGCUCACCAAGGCUUCGAUCAAUAGCUGGUCUGAGAGGAUGAUCAGCCACACUGGAACUGAGACACGGUCCAGACUCCUACGGGAGGCAGCAGUCGGGAAUACUGGGCAAUGGGCGAAAGCCUGACCCAGCAACGCCGCGUGAAGGAUGAAGGCCUUCGGGUCGUAAACUUCUGUCGAGAGGGAAGAAUGCGUGCGGGUGAAUAAUCCGUACGUUUGACGGUACCUCCAAAGGAAGCACCGGCUAACUCCGUGCCAGCAGCCGCGGUAAUACGGAGGGUGCAAGCGUUGUUCGGAUUUAUUGGGCGUAAAGCGAGUGUAGGCGGUUUAGCAAGUCGGGUGUGAAAUCCCAGGGCCCAACCCUGGAACUGCACCCGAUACUGUUAGGCUAGAAUUCCGGAGAGGGUGGCGGAAUUCCCGGUGUAGGGGUGAAAUCCGUAGAUAUCGGGAGGAACACCAGUGGCGAAGGCGGCCACCUGGACGGUAAUUGACGCUGAGACUCGAAAGCGUGGGUAGCAAACAGGAUUAGAUACCCUGGUAGUCCACGCCGUAAACGGUGAGUGCUCGUCGUCGUGGGUAUUGACCCCUGCGGUGACCAAGUUAACGCAUGAAGCACUCCGCCUGGGAAG
rnacentral:rRNA from 1 species